UGAGGAAUCUUGCGCAAUGGGGGAAACCCUGACGCAGCAACACCGCGUGAGUGAGGAAGGUCUUCGGGUCAUAAAGCUCUGUCAGGCGGGAAGAAAUGCAUGGAGGUGAACAGCCGCCAUGCUUGACGGUACCGCCAGAGGAAGCACCGGCUAACUCCGUGCCAGCAGCCGCGGUAAUACGGAGGGUGCAAGCGUUGUUCGGAAUCAUUGGGCAUAAAGAGCGUGUAGGCGGCUUGGUAAGUCAGAUGUGAAAGCCCUGGGCUCAACCCGGAAAGUGCAUUUGAAACUGCCAGGCUAGAGUAGGGAAGAGGGAAGUGGAAUUCCUGGUGUAGAGGUGAAAUUCGUAGAUAUCAGGAGGAACACCGGUGGCGAAGGCGACUUCCUGGCCCUAUACUGACGCUGAGACGCGAGAGCGUGGGUAGCAAACAG
rnacentral:rRNA from 1 species